UACGUAGGGGGCAAGCGUUAUCCGGAAUGAUUGGGCGUAAAGCGUCCGCAGGUGGCAGUUCAAGUCUGCUGUCAAAGACCGGGGCUUAACUUCGGAAAGGCAGUGGAAACUGAACAGCUAGAGUAUGGUAGGGGCAGAGGGAAUUCCUGGUGUAGCGGUGAAAUGGCGUAGAGAUCAGGAAGAACAUCGGUGGCGAAGGCGCUCUGCUGGACCAUAACUGACACUCAGGGACGAAAGCUAGGGGAGCGAAUGGG
rnacentral:rRNA from 1 species